UACGUAGGGGGCUAGCGUUGUCCGGAAUCAUUGGGCGUAAAGCGCGCGUAGGCGGCCCGGUAAGUCCGCUGUAAAAGUCCAGGGCUCAACCCUGGAAAGCCGGUGGAUACUGUCGGGCUCGAGUCCGGAAGAGGCGAGUGGAAUUCCUGGUGUAGCGGUGGAAUGCGCAGAUAUCAGGAGGAACACCGAUGGCGAAGGCAGCUCGCUGGGACGGUACUGACGCUGAGGCGCGAAAGCUAGGGGAGCGAAAGGG
rnacentral:rRNA from 1 species